rnacentral:pre_miRNA from 1 species
AAUUUCAACUGAAAAAGUUAUCAACAACAAAGUUGAAUAACUCAUCAAGAUCUAAAAUUUUUAUUUUGAUCAUUUCUUCAUCCGACAAAGUGAUACUAACAUUGUUCACAGAAUUGACGUAUCUCUUAUAUGAUUUUAUAAACUAUAGCACAUAUAUGCAAAAUUUGUGAACAAUAUUACUAACACUUUAUCGGAUGAAGAAAUAACAAAAAUAAAAGUUUUAUAUAUACAAUUUUGUUGGUGACGAUUUUUUCAAUUGAAAUC